UGGUGGCGAUGGCGGAGGGGUUCCACGCGUACCCAUCCCGAACACGACCGUUAAGCCCUCCAGCGCCGAUGGUACUUGGA
rnacentral:rRNA from 2 species